AUACUUACCUGGCAGGGGAGAUACCAUGAUCAUGAAGGUGGUUUUCCCAGGGAGAGACUUAACCAUUGCACUCCAGGUAUGCUGACCCCUGUGAUUUCCCCAAAUGUGGGAAACUCGACUGCAUAAUUUGUGGUACUGGGGGACUGCGCGCUCUCCCAUG
rnacentral:snRNA from 1 species